AACUUAUCUACCAAGGACAGAUGAUUAAUCGUUGAGAAAGAAAACUCAAAAUGAUAAGGGAUUAUACUUAGUACUGAUAAUAUUAA
rnacentral:ncRNA from 1 species